GACGAACGCUGGCGGCGUGCUUAACACAUGCAAGUCGAACGGUGAUGGAGAGCUUGCUCUCCGGAUCAGUGGCGAACGGGUGAGUAACACGUGAGCAAUCUGCCCCUCACUCUGGGAUAACUUCGGGAAACCGAUGCUAAUACCGGAUAUGACGCGCGAAGGCAUCUUCUGCGUGUGGAAAGAAUUUCGGUGGGGGAUGAGCUCGCGGCCUAUCAGCUUGUUGGUGAGGUAAUGGCUCACCAAGGCGACGACGGGUAGCCGGCCUGAGAGGGUGACCGGCCACACUGGGACUGAGAUACGGCCCAGACUCCUACGGGAGCAGCAGUGGGGAAUCUUGCGCAAUGGCCUAACGGCUGACGCAGCGACGCCGCGU
rnacentral:rRNA from 1 species